rnacentral:rRNA from 1 species
GACGAACGCUGGCGGCGUGCUUAACACAUGCAAGUCGAACGGUGAAAGCGGAGCUUGCUCCGCUGGAUCAGUGGCGAACGGGUGAGUAACACGUGGGCAACCUGCCCCUCACUUCGGGAUAACUCCGGGAAACCGGGGCUAAUACCGGAUAUGACCUCCUUGGGCAUCCUUGGAGGUGGAAAGUUUUUCGGUGAGGGAUGGGCCCGCGGCCUAUCAGCUUGUUGGUGAGGUAGGGGCUCACCAAGGCGACGACGGGUAGCCGGCCUGAGAGGGCGACCGGCCACACUGGGACUGAGACGCGGCCCAGACUCCUACGGGAGGCAGCAGUGGGGAAUAUUGCGCAAUGGGCGAAAGCCUGACGCAGCAACGCCGCGUGCGGGAUGACGGCCUUCGGGUUGUAAACCGCUUUCAGCAGGGAAGAAGCCGCAAGGUGACGGUACCUGCAGAAGAAGCACCGGCUAACUACGUGCCAGCCGCCGCGGUAA